CUGUAAUCGGUACGGGUUGUGGGAGCAAGAGCCCGGAGAUGGAUUCUGAGACAUGAAUCCAGGCCCUACGGGGUGCAGCAGGCGCGAAAACUUUACAAUGCUGGCAACAGCGAUAAGGGAACCUCGAGUGCCAGGUUACAAAUCUGGCUGUCGAGAUGCCUAAAAAGCAUUUCAUAGCAAGGGCCGGGCAAGACCGGUGCCAGCCGCCGCGGUAACACCGGCGGCUCGAGUGGUAACCGUUAUUAUUGGGUCUAAAGGGUCUGUAGCCGGCCGGAUAAGUCUCUUGAGAAAUCUGGCAGCUUAACUGUCAGGCUUUCAGGAGAUACUGUCUGGCUCGAGGCCGGGAGAGGUGAGAGGUACUUCAGGGGUAGGGGUGAAAUCUUGUAAUCCUUGAAGGACCACCAGUGGCGAAGGCGUCUCACCAGAACGGACCUGACGGCAAGGGACGAAAGCUAGGGGCACGAACCGGAUUAGAUACCCGGGUAGUCCUAGCCGUAAACGAUACUCGCUAGGUGUCGGCCACGGUGCGACCGUUGUCGGUGCCGUAGGGAAGCCGUGAAGCGAGC
rnacentral:rRNA from 1 species